GAGUUUGAUCAUGGCUCAGGAUGAACGCUGGCGGCGUGCUUAACACAUGCAAGUCGAGCGGAGCACAUCAUUGGAAUCCUUCGGGAGGAAGAGGAUGUGGCUUAGCGGCGGACGGGUGAGUAACGCGUGGACAACCUGCCCUAUGCAGGGGGAUAACAUCCGGAAACGGUGCUAAUACCGCAUAAGCGCACGGUACCGCAUGGUACGGUGUGAAAAGCUGAGGCGGCAUAGGAUGGGUCCGCGUUGGAUUAGGCAGUUGGCGGGUAACGGCCCACCAAACCGACGAUCCAUAGCCGGCCUGAGAGGGUGGACGGCCACAUUGGGACUGAGACACGGCCCAGACUCCUACGGGAGGCAGCAGUGGGGAAUAUUGCACAAUGGGGGAACCCUGAUGCAGCGACGCCGCGUGGGUGAGGAAGUACUUCGGUAUGUAAAGCCCUAUCAGCAGGGAAGAAAAUGACGGUACCUGACUAAGAAGCCCGGCUAACUACGUGCCAGCAGCCGCGGUAAG
rnacentral:rRNA from 1 species